rnacentral:tRNA from 1 species
GGAAGUGUUGAGCAAAUGGUUCGCUCGCCUGACUGUAAAUCAGGUCUCUCCGGAGGAUGCAGGUUCGAGUCCUGCCACUUCCACAA